GGGGCAUAUAGAACUUCCCAGGCUAGGGGUCAAAAUGGAGCUAUGGCUGCUGGCCUAUGCCACAGCCACAGCAAUGUGGGAUCUGAGCCAUGUCUGCAACCUACACCACAGCUUAACCCACUGAGUGAGGCCAGGGAUUGAACCUGCAUCCUCAUGGAUACUAGUCAGUUUCAUUUCUGCUGUGCCACAAUGGGAACUCCCAACAGACCCCUUUUCCAAAUGACAACCCACACAAGUCAGAGGUUAGCAAAUUACAAGCCCAAGGUUCAAGACAGGUGUUUCUAGGUCCAGAGCCCUGCCCAGCAUUAAAAACAAAGGACAGUCUGACCCCAGGGAAUGUGUCAAACCCUCUGGCACUUGGGCCACCCAAGGAGACUAGAAAGGCCCAUCACACUUGAAGGCAUAGGUGUGUCCUGUGCCUGAGGUGAGGCAGUUGGUGGGAGGUUGGGGGAGUUAGAGUCGCUUGUAAACAACAUCACAACUCUAGGCAGAUCCAGUUAGUUCCAUCUUCAACCCAGUAUCUGAGUCUGGAGGUAUGGCCGGGGAGGGGCAGGUGGGAUCUGUACCUUCUUUCACAAUAAGGUGAACAAGCAAAUACCUUUAAGGGGUGGGUAUUUCUCUCUCCAGAUUAAAAAAAAAAAUGACUCACACUCUUCUCUAUCUACUACACCAGACAUAGUAAAAGAAGCAAACCCAAGCCAAACAGGUGACAAGAAUUAAAUGAAACAGCAUCCUGCUCUUCAUUUCUGUGUCUUGGCUUGAGGCUCCCUGAGCUGUCUGAAAGUGACCCAGAGAUGACAAGGUCCUUCCUAUCAGACUCUGAGGCCCUGUGGAGGACAGUAUUUCUCCAAGUCCUCCAAAUGCCUCCCUGCUCCCUAUGUGUCAGCCCCCCUUUGAGUCCAUCAAGGAAACACACUUUGAGUCGGGCAACCAGCUUUGCAUUAUUCCCCACAACACCGCACGUCUCCAGCCUUUGUUUUAUGUCACCUGACUUCAGGUAAGAUGGAGAAAAAAGUAGGGAACAUUGCAGAACACACUAGAGAGAGGGCACCUGCAUAAAGACGGCCUGCCCACCACAAGACAUUGGCUUUUACAUUCGCUCUCCAGUGAUGACCGCAGCCCAGCUCUCCAGAGGCCAACCCCCGGGACUCUGGGAAUCUGCACGUCCAGUAAUCCAGCCAUGUGCCUGCAUGCUCAGAGUUCUACUUCUGGAGAACCCCAAGGCCAUAUGAACCCCAAUGGCCUGUCCUACAACGUGGGCUUUGGGCUGCAUGGGUCGACUGAAGGUGACCCUGAUAUUUGGAAGGCAGAACACUUUCUCUUUUACCAGGUGUUCUAAUUGAGACUCGAGGGUCAGCUGUGGCCUGUAUGUGACCACUUUUUAAUGGACAUUUCCUGGGGGAUCAUCUGGCUACAGAGCUGUCUGAAAGCCACCCACAGGUGGAAAGGGCAGGACAAGUCCUUCCAACCAGGUUAGUUAACUUAGACUUGAGAGUCAGCGGUAAACUUAACCUGGCCCUCCUUGCAAUACGUGCCUCAGGGGGAUCCACCUCCUCCAACUCAAACCCCACCUCUGGGCUGGGAUUCGCCAAUGCCAAGCAGCUGCUGGGCUCUGUCAGUGCCUCUUCACCCUCUGGUGAUGAAUUGUUGAAUAAAAAUUCAGAGCCCUUAAUCCUGUAUCCUGAC
rnacentral:lncRNA from 1 species